ACCCCAGAAACCACGUUUUAAAAGGCAGGAAUACUGAAGUGGGUUGCCAUUUCCUUCUCCAAGGGGAUCUUCCCAACCCAAGGAUUGAACCUGUGUCAGCUGUGAUGGCAAGCAAAUUCUUUACCACUGAGCAACCAGGAAAAACCACAAGUAAAUAGACAGGUGAAAUUAAUUUUAAUAUAUUUGAUUUAACCCAAUAUAUCCAAAAUGUUAUAAUCUCAAAAAUAUUAACAUGAUAGUUUACAUUUUUUGUGCUAUCUGAAAACCAGUGAUAGUUUUGUACUGAGCACAUUUCAAUUUGCAGGAGCUGUAUUUAAGUGCUCGAGAGCAAUGCAGUUCUCCCAUGUGCAGUUCUUUCCUGUUAGUCAGUAAAAGAGCCCUGGAAUAUAUACACACAUUCACAUAUGAUCAUAAUCGUUGAAUUUUUCAGAGAAGACAUUUAGAUGAAUCAAAAAAUGAAUUCCCUUGUUCCUAUUGCUUUCUCUCUUUAUUAUGAAUGUCUUUGAGGACCAUGCCAGUUCAAAGACUGAUGUUUUAGAACUAGACUCAGGGUGGGGAAAGUUGCAUGGUGCUGUAACAGCCAUGCCCACAGUCGAGUUGGCGCCUUCCUCCUUUCACUGCAUGGAUAAUAACAAGGCUGCGCUGUCCCAAGAUGUGCUAGGUGCUGGGGAAAGUGGAAAUCAGGUGGGUCCUCUGAGCCCAUGGAGCUCCUGCUCUACCAUGGUGUACCAAGUAGGACCUUGCAGGCAAUGAGAGGGUGUAUUGUCUGCAGAGAAUCUGAAAACAAUAAAACUGAUUGAAUGUCUGUCUGCAUUUUAUUAUUACCAUGUGCCCACAAUUCUAAACCAUGCCACAGAUUAAGACAUUCCUCCCUGAAAAUCAAGUAGUUGGUCUAACCUGAGUCCUAAUGAUAUAUUUAUAAGCUUUGAAUUGGCAUAUUUUAAUCACUUGUACACUAGUCGACAGUAUCACCCACCAGGGACUUAUAUCACAACACUUCCAGCUAUACAUUCAGCCCCUAACACACACCAAGCCAGUUAUACGUGUUAGUUUUGAGAAUAAGUUCAUAACAGUCCAGAAUUGUUCAAGCUCGCUUCCUGAGUACUUGUGUCUCUAGCCCCUUUGGUACAACAUAUGGCUGUGUUUAAACAAUAGAUUGAAAAUAAACAAUGAUAGCCCAGUGAUUAGGAAGCUGAAGAACCAGAACUUGAGUUGCUUCAAUUCUGCCAUUCUAUGUGACCACUUGAAGCUUUUGUAUUUAAAAUUCAAAACAGUGAAAC
ensembl:lncRNA